CUGCGCGGAAGAUGUAACGGGGCUAAACCAUGCACCGAAGCUGCGGCAGCGACACUUUAGUGUUGUUGGGUAGGGGAGCGUUCUGUAAGCCGUUGAAGGUGUGUCGUGAGGCAUGCUGGAGGUAUCAGAAGUGCGAAUGCUGACAUAAGUAACGAUAAAGCGGGUGAAAAGCCCGCUCGCCGGAAGACCAAGGGUUCCUGUCCAACGUUAAUCGGGGCAGGGUGAGUCGACCCCUAAGGCGAGGCCGAAAGGCGUAGUCGAUGGGAAACGGGUUAAUAUUCCCGUACUUGGUGUUACUGCGAAGGGGGGACGGAGAAGGCUAUGUUGGCCGGGCGACGGUAGUCCCGGUUUAAGCGUGUAGGUGUGUGUUCCAGGCAAAUCCGGUUCACUUUAACACUGAGGCGUGACGACGAGGCACCACGGUGCUGAAGCAACAAAUGCCCUGCUUCCAGGAAAAGCCUCUAAGCAUCAGGUAACAUCAAAUCGUACCCCAAACCGACACAGGUGGUCAGGUAGAGAAUACCAAGGCGCUUGAGAGAACUCGGGUGAAGGAACUAGGCAAAAUGGUGCCGUAACUUCGGGAGAAGGCACGCUGACACGUAGGUGAAGUGAUUUACUCAUGGAGCUGAAGUCAGUCGAAGAUACCAGCUGGCUGCAACUGUUUAUUAAAAACACAGCACUGUGCAAACACGAAAGUGGACGUAUACGGUGUGACGCCUGCCCGGUGCCGGAAGGUUAAUUGAUGGGGUCAGCGCAAGCGAAGCUCCUGAUCGAAGCCCCGGUAAACGGCGGCCGUAACUAUAACGGUCCUAAGGUAGCGAAAUUCCUUGUCGGGUAAGUUCCGACCUGCACGAAUGGCGUAAUGAUGGCCAGGCUGUCUCCACCCGAGACUCAGUGAAAUUGAACUCGCUGUGAAGAUGCAGUGUACCCGCGGCAAGACGGAAAGACCCCGUGAACCUUUACUAUAGCUUGACACUGAACAUUGAGCCUUGAUGUGUAGGAUAGGUGGGAGGCUUUGAAGCGUGGACGCCAGUCUGCGUGGAGCCGACCUUGAAAUACCACCCUUUAAUGUUUGAUGUUCUAACGUGGACCCGUAAUCCGGGUUGCGGACAGUGUCUGGUGGGUAGUUUGACUGGGGCGGUCUCCUCCUAAAGAGUAACGGAGGAGCACGAAGGUUGGCUAAUCCUGGUCGGACAUCAGGAGGUUAGUGCAAUGGCAUAAGCCAGCUUGACUGCGAGCGUGACGGCGCGAGCAGGUGCGAAAGCAGGUCAUAGUGAUCCGGUGGUUCUGAAUGGAAGGGCCAUCGCUCAACGGAUAAAAGGUACUCCGGGGAUAACAGGCUGAUACCGCCCAAGAGUUCAUAUCGACGGCGGUGUUUGGCACCUCGAUGUCGGCUCAUCACAUCCUGGGGCUGAAGUAGGUCCCAAGGGUAUGGCUGUUCGCCAUUUAAAGUGGUACGCGAGCUGGGUUUAGAACGUCGUGAGACAGUUCGGUCCCUAUCUGCCGUGGGCGCUGGAAGACUGAGGGGGGCUGCUCCUAGUACGAGAGGACCGGAGUGGACGCAUCACUGGUGUUCGGGUUGUCAUGCCAAUGGCACUGCCCGGUAGCUAAAUGCGGAAAAGAUAAGUGCUGAAAGCAUCUAAGCACGAAACUUGCCC
rnacentral:rRNA from 1 species